rnacentral:rRNA from 1 species
CACGUAGGGCGCAAGCGUUGUCCGGAAUUAUUGGGCGUAAAGAGCUCGUAGGCGGUCUGUUGCGUCCGCUGUGAAAACUCGGGGCUUAACCCCGAGCCUGCAGUGGAUACGGGCAGACUAGAGGUAGGUAGGGGAGAAUGGAAUUCCCGGUGUAGCGGUGAAAUGCGCAGAUAUCGGGAGGAACACCGAUGGCGAAGGCGGUUCUCUGGGCAUGUCCUGACGCUGAGGAGCGAAAGUGUGGGGAGCGAACAGG